GUGCUGGCUUUGGUAGCACAUAUGCUAAAAUUGGAACGAUGCAGAGAAAGAGAAUUAGCAUGUCCCCUGUACAAGAAUGACACACACAAAUUCGUGAAGCGUUCCAUAAUUUA
ensembl:snRNA LOC120093297 U6 spliceosomal RNA